AUUUAGUUUACUAACUGAGUCAAGGGACUGGCAAAACAAUCUCAAACACUAUAACUAAUUCAACAAGAAGAAAUUGUCACAGUGCCUACAACAUUGCAUUUUUAAUUACUGACAAUUAGUUUGUAAUCAUGUGAGAGUUUAUUGAGUAAAUGCCGAAUUUGUUGUUCAUUGACAUCUGCAUCACAAAAUUUAGGCUAAAAGAGGCUGUGUCAAUUGCAAAGUUGUAGAAUUUACAAUUUAG